rnacentral:rRNA from 1 species
CAGGCGGUGCAUGGAUGUCUUCAGCUCGUGUCGUGAGAUGUUGGGUUAAGUCCCGCAACGAGCGCAACCCUUGUCCCAUGUUGCCAGCGGGUAAUGCCGGGGACUCNUGGGAUACUGCCGGGGUCAACUCGGAGGAAGGUGGGGACGACGUCAAGUCAUCAUGCCCCUUAUGCCCAGGGCUUCACACAUGCUACAAUGGCCAGUACAGACGGUUGCGAGACCAAGAGGUGGAGCGAAUCCCUUAAAACUGGUCUCACCUCNNAUUGUAGUCUGCAACUCGACUACCUGAACUACGAGUCGCUAGUAAUCCCAGAUCAGCAACGCUGCCUUGAAUACCUUCCCGGCCCUUGCACAC